UCCUCGGUGGCUCAGGUGGAUAGAGCGUCUGCCAUGUAAGCAGUAGAUCCCGGGUUCGAGUCCCGGUCGGGGCA
rnacentral:tRNA from 1 species